rnacentral:rRNA from 1 species
UACGUAGGGUGCGAGCGUUAAUCGGAAUUACUGGGCGUAAAGCGUGCGCAGGCGGUUUUGUAAGACAGAUGUGAAAUCCCCGGGCUUAACCUGGGAACUGCAUUUGUGACUGCAAGACUAGAGUGUGUCAGAGGGGGGGUGGAAUUCCACGUGUAGCAGUGAAAUGCGUAGAGAUGUGGAGGAACACCGAUGGCGAAGGCAGCCCCCUGGGAUAACACUGACGCCUCAGGCACGAAAGCGUGGGGAGCAAACAGG